UACGUAGGGGGCAAGCGUUAUCCGGAUUUACUGGGUGUAAAGGGCGCGUAGACGGUGUUGUAAGUCAGAUGUGAAAGCCCGGGGCUCAACUCCGGGACUGCAUUUGAAACUAUGUUGCUAGAGUGCAGGAGAGGUAAGUGGAAUUCCUAGUGUAGCGGUGAAAUGCGUAGAUAUUAGGAGGAACACCAGUGGCGAAGGCGGCUUACUGGACUGUAACUGACGUUGAGGCUCGAAAGCGUGGGGAGCAAACAGG
rnacentral:rRNA from 1 species